rnacentral:rRNA from 1 species
AGUGAACGCUGGCGGUAGGCCUAACACAUGCAAGUCGAACGGCAGCACAGUAAGAGCUUGCUCUUACGGGUGGCGAGUGGCGGACGGGUGAGGAAUACAUCGGAAUCUACUUUUUCGUGGGGGAUAACGUAGGGAAACUUACGCUAAUACCGCAUACGACCUACGGGUGAAAGCAGUGGAGCUUCGGACCUUGCGCGAUUGAAUGAGCCGAUGUCGGAUUAGCUAGUUGGCAGGGUAAAGGCACACCAAGGCGACGAUCCGUAGCUGGUCUGAGAGGAUGAUCAGCCACACUGGAACUGAGACACGGUCCAGACUCCUACGGGAGGCAGCAGUGGGGAAUAUUGGACAAUGGGCGCAAGCCUGAUCCAGCCAUACCGCGUGGGUGAAGAAGGCCUUCGGGUUGUAAAGCCCUUUUGUUGGGAAAGAAAAGCAGCAGGUUAAUACCCCGCUGUUCUGACGGUACCCAAAGAAUAAGCACCGGCUAACUUCGUG